GAUUAACGCUAGCGGCAGGCCUAAUACAUGCAAGUUGUACGGGAUUAUUGGUAGCAAUACUGAUAUGAGAGUAGCGCACGGGUGCGUAACACGUAUGCAACCUACCUUUAACUGGGGAAUAGCUCACCGAAAGGUGAAUUAACACCGCAUAAAAUCACAGAAGGACAUCCUUUAAUGAUUAAAUCUCCGGAGGUUAAAGAUGGGCAUGCGUCCGAUUAGCUAGUUGGCGGGGAACAGCCCACCAAGGCAACGAUCGGUAGGGGUCUGAGAGGAUGAUCCCCANACUGGUACUGAGACACGGACCAGACUCCUACGGGAGGCAGCAGUAAGGAAUAUUGGACAAUGGGGGCAACCCUGAUCCAGCCAUGCCGCGUGAAGGAUGAAGGCCCUA
rnacentral:rRNA from 1 species